rfam:Gossypium hirsutum cultivar TM-1 chromosome 19, whole genome shotgun sequence
CUCAAGGAAGCGCUUUGUCCACGUGGACACAAAGCGCGCCUUCAAGGACACGUUUUGUGUUCACGUGGACAAAGCGCUUCUUUGAGG